UUCAUAAUCUGCUGAGCCACAAUAGGAACUCCCAGGAGUAAGUCUUAGAGAGGAUAUAAAGAUUGUCUGGGUUUUGUUUUUAAAUGAUUGGUAUUAUUGCUAUUAUAGCUUUCUGGAUUUAAAAGUCUAAAUUUAUCUACGUGGUUUUCAGUAUGCCUCAGAAUUCAUCCUGAAUAAUAAGAUGUAGACUUUGAGCUGGGCUGAGCUUUCCUUUGAUGAUGCAUGUGUGCAAUUGCAAUUCUGAGACUAACAUUAUAUAUAAUAUAUAUACACACAUAUACAUGUUAUAUAAUAUAUAUAACAUGAAAUAUACAUAUCAAUACAGGUAUUGAUGAACAGGCAUCAAGCAAAGAAUUUUGCCUGUUUUCCUAAACAUUCUUCCCAUUUUAAUUUAUGUGUUUUGGUUCAGUGUUUCCUUAACUCCAGGAAUGAAGUUUUCUUUGAGGGCUAUCUCUUCUGUUUUGGAAUGCAUCCAUGUAAUUUAUCAGAAGCUAGGGAGAGGAGAAGGUGGUGUAUGGGAAUAGAGAUGCAAAUGGAAAGAGACGUGGAAUCCUCUUCUGAUUACUACUGUUUUCUCAGUGAAACAAGUGAAAACAUCAGCUGAAAGCGUGGCAGGGGUGGAGGUUUGAGGAGAAAGGAAAAGGUGUGAAAUAGCCCCAAUAAGAACUCAGACUGUAGCUCAACUCUUCUUCCCAUUCUUCCAAGAGGCAAUCAAGAUUGAUUGUCCAUUGACCUCCAAUCCCUAUUCCACCAUAGUCCAAAUGCCUCAGUUCACCAUUGACCAAGAGUUUCAUUCCAUUUUAGCUCUGCCCAUCUCUGUUACAACAGUUAUCGACUCUCCCCUAUGCGCUGUCACCAGAUGUCUGGAGCUCCAAGGAGGUGACAACAAGUUCCCUGAAGAGGCAGUCCUUCCUCUGCGUGUGCUCUUGGCUGCCUUGCCUUAACCAAACUCUGGCUUUCUUGAGGACACUUUCCCUGCUAGUCUCAAGUAGAGACUUUUUGUUUCUCCAGUUUCACCCAACUCAGGACAAAGAGGUGGGGGAGAUGUUCUGCUUGCUCACUGUUGCCACCUUUAGACCAUUGCUUUUCUGAAGGUCACACUGUGAAGGUUAAGCCAUCUGCUUAUGCCACCCAGCACUUCUGAUUUUUUGCAACUCCUGCCCCAUUGUCUGCCUUCUCCCUCCCCACCCCUAUAACAUUUUGGAGAGACUUUUAAUGUCAACACAGAUGACUCAUUCUCCACCCUUGCCUCAUAGUUCCCAGACCUUCUUGCUCCAAAUAAUUAUUUUCUCACCUGAUUUCAUUGAUGGAUUACUGCGUGACCUUUCCAGCACCAGCAUCUAUGUCAUCUGCAACAUCUGAAUACAGGUAUCCUUUUACCCACCAUCUCCUAUGUUUUAGUUCAUUUAACAUGUUACAUUUAAAGAAGAAUUUUUCCCAUCAAAACACUGAUUCACUGACCAAAUAAAUCACUAUUUUCUUUUAUCUUUAAAUAGUUUAGCUACCCAUGAGAUAUAAAGAUCCAUUAUUGUAUUCCCUGCCUCGCAACCACAUUGAUCCUGCUUUCCCUAUGAUACUAGUGUGGCAAAGUCAACCCUGAUAUAACCCAAAUAUUCAUCUUCUCUUCUCCUAGUCUACUCAUUCAUUCACUUAUUUAUUUUCUUCAUCCAACAUAAUUUUCAUGGAGUAACCACUCUGCUCAGAGCCAGGGAUAGAGCAGUGAAUGAAAGAAGCAAACCUCCUUGUCUUCAUGAACCUUAUACUCAACACUGCAAGACUUCCCUGGAAACUCUUAAAGACAGUUUCCUUCAUUUCUUCUCACCUAAAAUAUCCUACAGGCUCUCCACAAUCCCUCAUUCUCAGCUGAUGACCCUGUCUAAUAGCCACUGGAAAAAAAAAAAUUGAAGUAAUCAGUAAUCCCACUACCUAACAUAGAAACCCAACUGUAUGUAUACCCAUCUGUCUUUCUUCUUUUUAACAUGGGAGAAAAAAUAUAUAUAAUACUAUACAAACUCACACAUAUGUAUAUAUAUACAUAUGUAUGUAUGUGUAUGUUUACAUAUAUACAUACUCUUCUGCUAUCUUCUUAACGACUUAAUUCCUGCAGAUUUUCCCUCUCUGCAUUACCACUUUUUUUCCCUUACAUUAUGAAAAAUCUCUAAUGACCACACAGCCUCUGUUAGUGCUUCAUGUCUCUGCCACUCUUCAAAUAACAUUUCUCAAAAAAUUAUCUACACUCUAUCUGUUCAUGUCUUUACCUCCCAUUCACUCUUCAAGCUCUUCAAUCUGGAUCUCACCCUCUUCACAACAUUAAAAAUACCCUUGUCAUGAAAUGUAUCUUUCUUUUGUUUCCUUGGUACCAGAUCCCCUUACCUUUUUGGUUACUCACCAUCAGUCUUUUUUCAAUGACUCCUUCUCUUUUAUUCCUUCUCUGAAUAUUGAGUCCUCCUAGGAUCCAUCCUGUGCUGUUUUAUCUUCUCUAUCUAAGUGAGCUCAUCUCAUCCCAUGGUUUAAAUAAUGCCUAUGUUCUUAUAUCCACAUCUCUGUUGUUGACUCUCCCAUGAGGCCCAAAUCCUUACUAACAACUCAAGAUGUCCCCUUGCAUAUAUUUAUUGGCAUCUAGUCAUUGCAAACUAGAUGUGUUUAGGAUGGAAUCUUGAUUUUCUCUGGACGAAACCACUUUCUUCCCUAACCCUCUUCAUUGAAUUAAUGGCAUUGUCACCAAGCACCUUAGACCUAGGAGUCCUCCUUGAUUCCUCCCUCACUCUCAUCUUCUAGAGUCAAUCUAUCAAUGUCUCUUUUUUUAUUAUAACCCCCAAAGAUAUUUCAAAUCUCUUCAUUUUCCCCCCAGUCUCCCCUGCCACUAUCUUGGUCCACACCAUCAUUAUUUCUUGCUUGGUCUGCUGAGAUAAUGUCCUCAUUGAUGUUGCUACUCCCAUUCUUAUACUCUUAUAACCCAUGCUCUACCCAGAAGCUAAAAUGAUCAGUUAAACUCUAAAUCAGAUCAUGCAGCACCCCUGAUUACAAUGAUCCUAGGCUGCCAGUGUCACUUAGAUUAAAACCCUGACUCCUUAUAAUUUCUCAUGGGAUUUCAUCCUUCUUUUUUCCAUCAUCAUCUAACACUGGUUCCCUGUUUCACUAUAUUCCCACCGUAUUUCUCUCUUUUCUGUGUUAUAAAUAGGGUGAACAAUUUCAUCCAUGUACUUUUUGUUGCCUUUGCCUGGAAUCCUCAUUCCUGGUCUUGUCACAUGUUACCUCUUUCUCAUUUGUUCCUAAAAUUUCUGUUCAAUGAUAACUAUUCCUCAGAAAACCCUUCUUAGACCGCCCUAUGUAAAGUGGCUAUCUUUUUACCAUGCUUCUUACCCUCAUAAUAUGAUUGCCUCAUUUUUUGAGAGAGAAGUUAUCAUAAGCUAUCAUUUUAUUUAUUAUUUGAAUAAUUGUGUGUUGUCCAUCUUAUGGUCCAAAUAGACCAUAAACUACUUGAGGGUGGGAAUGUAAUCUGAUUUAAUCUCUUCUGUAUUCCUACCACCUAAAAUAGGACCUUUCCCAUGCAAGGCUUGCAAUGAGUAUGGAUUGAAUAAAUGAAAGAAUCAUCAUUAGUCAUGCACAUCAGCAAUUCAGAGUUACAAGGAGACAUACCUGCGAGAGGGCAGAGGACAGAAAAAGUUCUGGAAUGGUAAAUGUAUGUGCUGACAAGUCCGGUUUAGUUUUUCCUUCUUCAAGCAGAAUUCCCUUGGUUAAAAGAAUUAAUGACUAUAUGGCAUUUAGCAGGCGUGAAUCCCAUCUACAUGUAUCAGCAUUCCCAGAUCUUAAAAACCAAAUGAAAGUGAAAACGUAAGUUUCAGAAUAAUACAUAGUGUAUUCCUGUAUUAAAACACUAAACUCUGUCAUGCAUGUAUUAUUUACAUAUGCAACUUGUAUGGUAAAUGUAGAGAACACUGGCUUUCUGGGAGGAGCCAUUCCAUCUUCAUCAGCACGGUAACUUCUGAGAUGGGAAGGGAAUGGGAUUCAGGCAGAGACUUCAAUUUUGUCCAUUUGUUUCAUUUCUUUCAUUUAAAAAAUCUGAAGCAAAUCUGACAAAGUGCUAACAUUGUGCAGUUGGGCGGGUUGAUGCAUGUUUAUCAUAUUUUUCUUUAUAAUGACUAUACUUUAAAUAUUAAAAAAUAAACUUAGUUAAAGGCCUUAUGUACCUGUGGUCUGAGGAGAACUUACAGAAUUGAUUCAUAAAAUAAAAUGUCCUUGUAUUUAAAUCAGGGGUUAACUAACUCAAUUUGGUCUCUAUCUUUAAGAUUCUUGGGUGGGCUUCCUUCUGGCUGGCGUCUGUGUUUUUGGGUCAGACUGAAGUGGUGUGGAAUGUGGAAACAGGACAGAAAACAUCUGUGCACUAACUCAAAUAUCUCUUCUCUCUUUCUCCAGGGUUGGCUUUUUUUUUUUUUUCCCUCCUGACAUAAGAGUGGCAAAAAUAACAAAUGCCACUUUUUGAGGACAUGUUAGGGACACUGUGUACAUUAUUUCAUCAAUGCUGGCAGUGACUCAUUAAGGUGGAUACUCUCAGCCCUGUUUUGCAGAUGUGAAGGAAAAUGUUCAGACAAUUUUUUUUUCAGAUGGACAAAAUGAACUUAAGAAAGACUGAAUAAUUCACUCAAGGUUACAGUGUUAACUAGCAGCUGUGCCAAGAUGAAGAUGCAGAUCUUUAUUCCUCUGGGAGACAGAUAUUCUUUCCACAAAUAACUGAGAUUCAAGAACUGUGUGUAUGACAUCAAGAGGUUUCCUAAUAGUGAGGCCUGAGGCCGACUUGGAAGAGAAGUGAGUCAGAAAGUCAACACAAUCUUGGGUGACAUAUUUUGAUUUUUUUAAUCACUUAAUUCACAUCCAAGAAUACAUUUAGAGAGUUGAAAAGAGUGUUCAGGUGGAAGAAAAACCAAAUUAAUAUAUAUGUUGUCUUUUUCUCAAUAUUCACACAGUUUUAACUUCUAAAUGUAUUUACUUCUCAUUGUGAAUGGAAAAGCACUAUUGGUGAGCUACAUUGAGAAUUUCAGCUAUAGUUUCCCUUAAAUGUUUUCUCCUAAGUUUUAAAAUGGCUUUAGCCAUCCACAUUUGACCACGUCAGCAGUAAAAG